UUAAUUUGGUAAGAAAUAUGCAUGCCAUUGAAUCAAUGGAUAAUUCUUUGUCUAAACAUUUCAGUGUUGAUUGACCCAGGAAUUGAAAUGUUUGCCCCUUCCUCACACUGUUCAACAAAAAGAUUGUGUUUUCACGGAUGAUGACUGAGGAUCUCCUCUAGUGUGGACCAGCCAUGUGACUUCGCAUGAUCUAUUCAAACUCUCGGAGAACUUCAACUGAACAAAUGUCUGUCAGGGACCUUCUUGCAUCCAAUUCAGAUACAAGACACACCUCCAUUCCUGGUUCACUAUGCAGAGAUGUCAUAACUCCUGUGGUAGUUAUCCCUGAAUCUAAUGAUCUAAUGUCAUCC
rnacentral:lncRNA from 1 species